AAGAAGCAGAAGCCAUUUCUAGAGGGAAGCAUCAGAGCAAAGCAAUCUCAUUUAAUUAAACUUGAAGCAUUGAAGACGAUACGAACACGGAAAUCAAGAAACGUAAAGUUGGAAAACACGAAUCAGCAACUCAUUUACUCGAAUUUACCAGAGAGAGAAAGAGAGAGAAGUGGCUGCUGAACUAAGAAUCUAUUAAGACUCCUUUGGUGAGUUGAACAGCAUAACGUUGUGGUAUUGCAAA
rnacentral:misc_RNA from 1 species